rnacentral:rRNA from 1 species
GUGGGGAAUUUUGGACAAUGGGGGCAACCCUGAUCCAGCCAUGCCGCGUGAGUGAAGAAGGCCUUCGGGUUGUAAAGCUCUUUCGGUGGGAACGAAACGGUGUAGGUCAAUACCCUGCACUCCUGACGGUACCUACAGAAGAAGCACCGGCUAACUACGUGCCAGCAGCCGCGGUAAUACGUAGGGUGCGAGCGUUAAUCGGAAUUACUGGGCGUAAAGCGUGCGCAGGCGGCGCGUUAAGACAGGUGUGAAAGCCCCGAGCUUAACUUGGGAAUUGCGCUUGUGACUGGCGAGCUGGAGUGUGGCAGAGGGAGGUGGAAUUCCACGUGUAGCAGUGAAAUGCGUAGAGAUGUGGAGGAACACCGAUGGCGAAGGCAGCCUCCUGGGCCAGCACUGACGCUCAUGCACGAAAGCGUGGGGAGCAAACAGGAUUAGAAACCCCGGUAGUCC